CAGCCGCCGCGGUAAUACGAAGGGUGCAAGCGUUAAUCGGAAUUACUGGGCGUAAAGCGUGCGUAGGCGGUUUGUUAAGUCUGUUGUGAAAUCCCCGGGCUCAACCUGGGAAUGGCAAUGGAUACUGGCAAGCUAGAGUGUGUCAGAGGAUGGUGGAAUUCCCGGUGUAGCGGUGAAAUGCGUAGAGAUCGGGAGGAACAUCAGUGGCGAAGGCGGCCAUCUGGGACAACACUGACGCUGAGGCACGAAAGCGUGGGGAGCAAACAGGAUUAGAUACCCGCGUAGUCCCUGUCUCUUAUAA
rnacentral:rRNA from 1 species